UGCCCUCUUCGGUAAAAGUAGUAGGUUAUAAAUAUUUUGAACCGAUAAUUACUUGUAAAGGGAUUUAUUGUGUAUCACUGUUGAGCAAUGUUCUGUUCCAGAAAGCCUGAUGUGAUACCGUCGACUCCCACCUGAGCCACUGGGUUCAAAUACAGGUCUACUGCAUUACUGCGGAGGGUCU
rnacentral:other from 1 species